AGUGAUUUAUUAAAUAGCCGCAGUAUUUUGACUGUGCAAAGGUAGCAUAAUAAAUUGUCUUUUAAUUGGAGGCUGGAAUGAAUGAUAGGAUGUGAUGGAUACUGUCUUUAUAGUAGUUGAUUGAAAUUUACUUUUUGAUGAAAAGGUUAAGAUUUGGUUGGUAGACGAGAAGACCCUAUCAAGCUUGAUUUUGAUUGAAGUUUGACUUUGUUUAUUUGUGGGUGGAUUUUGGUUUAAGAUUUUGUUGGGGCAAUGUUUGAAUAUAUUGUAAUUUUUUAUUUUUUGUUUUGUUUUGAUCCAUUAUUAAUGAUUGAAGGAGCAAGUUACUGUAGGGAUAACAGCGUAAUUAGUUUGGAGAGUUCAUAUUGGUAAAUUAGAUUGCGACCUSGAKGUUGGUUKAAUGAUUCKUUAGGGUGUAG
rnacentral:rRNA from 1 species